GAUGAACGCUGGCGGCGUGCCUAAUACAUGCAAGUCGAGCGAACAGACGAGGAGCUUGCUCCUCUGACGUUAGCGGCGGACGGGUGAGUAACACGUGGAUAACCUACCUAUAAGACUGGGAUAACUUCGGGAGACCGGAGCUAAUACCGGAUAAUAUAUUGAACCGCAUGGUUCAAUAGUGAAAGACGGUUUUGCUGUCACUUAUAGAUGGAUCCGCGCCGCAUUAGCUAGUUGGUAAGGUAACGGCUUACCAAGGCGACGAUGCGUAGCCGACCUGAGAGGGUGAUCGGCCACACUGGAACUGAGACACGGUCCAGACUCCUACGGGAGGCAGCAGUAGGGAAUCUUCCGCAAUGGGCGAAAGCCUGACGGAGCAACGCCGCGUGAGUGAUGAAGGUCUUCGGAUCGUAAAACUCUGUUAUUAGGGAAGAACAAAUGUGUAAGUAACUAUGCACGUCUUGACGGUACCUAAUCAGAAGGCCACGGCUAACUACGUG
rnacentral:rRNA from 1 species